AUGUGCUUGUUUCAUGCAUUUCACAAUAACACCUUGGAUGUGGAGCGCUUAAACUAUGGGGUGAUCACCCUGAUCCCUAAGAUCAAUGGUGCUAAAAAGAUCCAGCAAUACCGUCCCAUUUGCCUACUUAGAUGCCCAUACAAGCUGAUCACUAAAGUGAUGGAUAAUAGAGUGGCCAUCUUUGCUGAUAAGCUUAUUAGCAAACAUCAAAAUGCUUUCAUUAAACAUAGGAAUAUCAUAGAUGGGAUUCUCACCCUCCAUGAGAUCUUACACCACACACAUCAUAAUAAGAAAAUUGGGGUGGUUCUAAAGUUGGACUUCGAAAAAGCAUACGACAAAAUUAAUUGGGAUUUUCUCCUUGAAUGUCAUAGCAACAGAGGUUUUGGUCCAACCUGGUGUGGUUGGGUGAAGAAAAUACUAAGUAAUGGCACGGUUAGUAUUAAACUGAACAAUACGACUGUGCCUUACUUCCAAAGCCACAAAGGGGUACGCCAGGGCGACCCUCAUUCCCCUUUUUUGUUUAAUCUUGUGGUGGAAACCCUGUCUAAGAUGAUUUGCAAUGCCCAAAAGGAAAAGAUGUUAACUGGACUAGCUCCAGACCUCAUUGAGAACGACAUUGUUGUACUACAGUACGCUGAUGAUACAGUUAUAUGUUUUGAACAUGAUGAAGAAGCUGUUGUCAAUUUCAAACUCCUCUUAUACAUCUUUGAACUCAUGUCUGGUUUAAAGAUUAAUUUCCUUAAGAGUGAAAUCCUGUGUGUGGGUGGAGAUGACAACAUCCUGGCAACCUAUCCUGAUAUUUUUAAUUGUCAAAUUGGCCACUUACCAAUGAAAUACUUGGGGGUUCCUAUGAGCUAUUCGACUUUACGUAACCUGGAUUGGAGCUUUGUCGAUGAUAAAUUCCUCAAAUGCUGUGAAACUUGGAUCAGGAAUGCUGCCUAA
rnacentral:rRNA from 1 species